UUCAGGUAUUUCAAGAAAAAAUGUGGCACCUCAUCAUUAAAGUCUCUGUCUUCAAAUGGCUUUUAUACUCUCAAAACCAUUUACAAUAUAAAUUCUGUAAACAAUUUUCUCCAAAAUCAUGGGUCAAUUGAAAUUUUUUAAAGUACAGUUUGCAUGUCAAUAGUUACAUAUAAAUGAAAGACAACAAUGGGCAGAUGAAAUUUUUCUAAAUUCAAUUUUUGGUUUUUAAAGCUAGAAACACCACUUGUAGAGAAGAGAAUGGCAUCCCCUAUGAUAGAACCACUCAAGUAAAAUGUGAGGGGUGGAGAUAAAGUUCCCUUGGGACUACAUUUUCCAAGUUAUAUUUGAUCUUCUGUAAACAACAACAACAGCAACAAGAAAAUGGUACUUUUUACAACCAUUCUCUCAUUUAAUUCUUGCCUACCCCCUUGAGGCAGUUAUUUGUUAUUCUUACUUUACAGAUGAGGAAACUGAUCAUUAAACAACAUCUGCAUUUUCCCAAAAUCACAUUGCUAAUAAAAUCCUUGUGGUUUUGCAGUUACACCACCUGUAUAUUUACUUAUAUUCUGCCAAAAUGACCUACUGACAUUCCUUGCCAUACACUUCUAUAUUUUUGUACUCCACUUUAUUCCACAAAGUUGAGGAAGAUAAUUGAAAAUCUUGGAGGAAAGAAAUUCCUGUAACAUAUUCCAUUUUUCCUCUAUUCAGUGCUUUCUGGAAACAUCUAUUCAACAGAGUGGGGGAUUGUUGUAGAAAUAUGGAAUUCACGGUGACUCAAUUUGUUCUCGUCUUUUGCUAUUCCCAAAUAGGAUUUCAGAUAAAGAGCAACUAUUCAAGGCUAACAAAAGGGAAGAGCUGGCCAAGCUGAUUUCUUAAUUCUACAUAAUGACAAAGCAGUGGUAGAACGUGUUAAUUAAGUCAAAAGUAUUAAUAAAAUCUGUCUUCCACAGACUUUUCUUAAAGAAUGCGUCUACCCUUGAGCCACCCACUGUCCUGAGCAGACUUUUGCAUUUACUCUCUGAACAUUCCUUCAAGAAAUGCAGUCUGCCUAGAGAUUCUGAAGUUGUCUUUAUACCUACAGAAAGCUCUGCAUCACUUAAGACCAAGAGAACAACUUGAACUCCACCCACCAGACUGCUGAAGUUACUCUAUGCUGACCUGGCAAAAACAAGGCAAAAUACAUGGGAAAAACAAAACAAAACAGUGAACCAAGAACUCAAGGGAGAAUCUUUUGAGCUCAUUUUCUGGGUGAAUGCUUCCCUCCUACCCGACCACCAGAACAGAGGAGCUUCCAGGAAGUUAGAGAAUUGAAAAAUAGAGAAAAAGAAUGAGUCACAAGAGGGUCUUAUCAUCUGACUAAGUGGGAGACUGGAUAAAAGCCUUGUAAAAUCAUUGCAGCUUAUAUACAUGUGUAUGGUUAUCAAGUAGCAUUCUAUUUCUCAAAUUAAGCAUAUACCGCAAUUAUUUUGUGAGACUAUAAAAUUCUUCUAGAAAGAAAUAAAGAAC
rnacentral:lncRNA from 10 species